GAUGAACGCUGGCGGCGUGCCUAAUACAUGCAAGUCGAGCGAACGGACGAGAAGCUUGCUUCUCUGAUGUUAGCGGCGGACGGGUGAGUAACACGUGGAUAACCUACCUAUAAGACUGGGAUAGCUUCGGGAAACCGGAGCUAAUACCGGAUGAUAUUUUGAACCGCAUGGUUCAAAAGUGAAAGACGGUCUUGCUGUCACUUAUAGAUGGAUCCGCGCUGCAUUAGCUAGUUGGUAAGGUAACGGCUUACCAAGGCAACGAUGCAUAGCCGACCUGAGAGGGUGAUCGGCCACACUGGAACUGAGACACGGUCCAGACUCCUACGGGAGGCAGCAGUAGGGAAUCUUCCGCAAUGGGCGAAAGCCUGACGGAGCAACGCCGCGUGAGUGAUGAAGGUCUUCGGAUCGUAAAACUCUGUUAUUAGGGAAGAACAUAUGUGUAAGUAACUGUGCACAUCUUGACGGUACCUAAUCAGAAAGCCACGGCUAACUACGUGCCAGCAGCCGCGGUAAUACGUAGGUGGCAAGCGUUAUCCGGAAUUAUUGGGCGUAAAGCGCGCGUAGGCGGUUUUUUAAGUCUGAUGUGAAAGCCCACGGCUCAACCGUGGAGGGUCAUUGGAAACUGGAAAACUUGAGUGCAGAAGAGGAAAGUGGAAUUCCAUGUGUAGCGGUGAAAUGCGCAGAGACAUGGAGGAACACCAGUGGCGAAGGCGACUUUCUGGUCUGUAACUGACGCUGAUGUGCGAAAGCGUGGGGAUCAAACAGGAUUAGAUACCCUGGUAGUCCACGCCGUAAACGAUGAGUGCUAAGUGUUAGGGGGUUUCCGCCCCUUAGUGCUGCAGCUAACGCAUUAAGCACUCCGCCUGGGGAGUACGACCGCAAGGUUGAAACUCAAAGGAAUUGACGGGGACCCGCACAAGCGGUGGAGCAUGUGGUUUAAUUCGAAGCAACGCGAAGAACCUUACCAAAUCUUGACAUCCUUUGACAACUCUAGAGAUAGAGCCUUCCCCUUCGGGGGGGACAAAGUGACAGGUGGUGCAUGGUUGUCGUCAGCUCGUGUCGUGAGAUGUUGGGUUAAGUCCCGCAACGAGCGCAACCCUUAAGCUUAGUUGCCAUCAUUAAGUUGGGCACUCUAAGUUGACUGCCGGUGACAAACCGGAGGAAGGUGGGGAUGACGUCAAAUCAUCAUGCCCCUUAUGAUUUGGGCUACACACGUGCUACAAUGGACAAUACAAAGGGCAGCGAAACCGCGAGGUCAAGCAAAUCCCAUAAAGUUGUUCUCAGUUCGGAUUGUAGUCUGCAACUCGACUACAUGAAGCUGGAAUCGCUAGUAAUCGUAGAUCAGCAUGCUACGGUGAAUACGUUCCCGGGUCU
rnacentral:rRNA from 1 species